CGCACGGACUCUGUUUGCCUCCUUCGUGCCGUUCAGGCUCCAUGCGCCGGCCUAGCUAGGGUUUGGUGGUCCAGGCGGAUGCCGCCGGUGGCUCCUGUUCAUCUGCUGCGCCGCCCUAGCUCCGUCUCUCGCCCCAAUCGCCGGUCCCCGUCUCUGCGCCACCGGCAGGGCUCUUCUUCUCUGCGCCGCCGCCCCAGCCACCGGCUCGGGUCCCUGCGCUACCGCAGGUCCCUGCGCUGCCGCCCAUCUUCCCUGCCGGUGGUCUGAACCGCCGAUUCUGAAGGGAUGGAUCCUGUGGAGGUCCCUCCUGGGGAGAACCCUCCAAUAAAAGUUGGAAACACAUAUGCUAGCAUGAGUGAAUUCAGAGGAGCCGUGGGACAACAUGCUAUAAAGGAGCAGUUUGAGCUUGGAACAGAAAAGUCAUGCACUGAAAGAUUCAGGGGCUACUGCAAAGCUAAUGGUUGUCCAUGGGCAAUAGCAGAAAGGUUGUUGCAUGAUGGGCAUGGUGGGAAGCAUGUUAGGGUAAUUUUGCUAACCACCCCUUACCCAUUGCCUUUAAUUCAAUUCAAUAAAGAAGAGCAUUUUUGUCCUUCCACUGGAAAGAGUUAGGACAAAGAUGGCAUCAUAUCAUUGGGUAGCAGAGAAGGCAAUCCCUUACCUAAAGAAGGAUCCAAAUAUGGGUGCCAAAAAAUUGCAAAAAGUGUUGGAAGACAAGUACCAGGUCACAAUAGGAUAUUCAAAACAGUGUGGGCUGGUAGGCAAAAGGCAGCAGAACAAAUUUUUGGUACAUGGGAAGAAAGUUUUUGGUUAUUUGUUUCAACUUCAAGGCAGAGGUAGAGCUUAAGAUGCCUGGAAGUGUUGUAGAGAUAGAUAUAAUUCAGAAAGAUGAUGGAGUAUACUUUCACAGAUUCUUUUGCUGUUUUAAAGCAAGCAUUGAUGGUUUUCUAAAUGGGUGCAGACCAUUCCUAAGUAUAGACUCCACAGUCUUGAAUGGAAGAUGAAAAUCCCUGUUUUAAAAAACAUUUUAAAACUACGUUUAAUCUUGAUUAAACUCUAAACUUUGGCCUAGCGUUGCGUUUAAUCACAAUGUCGUUUAAUCACAAAAGACGUUUAAUCUACGUUUAAUCACAAAAAACUCUAAACCAUAGGCUAGCGUUCACCUAGCGUCUAGCAUUUUUUAAAACCUUAGAUGAAAUGGUCAUAUGCCUUCAGCUACUGGACUAGAUGGCCACAAUUGGAUGUUUCCAGUUACAUUUGGAUUUUUUGAUAGUGAGACAACUGAGAAUUGGACAUGGUUUAUGCAGCAGUUGCAGAAGGCAAUUGGCAAUCCACCAGCCCUGGCAUUGAGUUCAGAUGCUUGCAAGGGCUUGAAGAAUGCAAUAAAGACAGUGUAUCCUUGGGCAGAGCAUAGAGAAUGUUUUCUGCACUUGAUGAGGAACUUUGUGAAGCAGUUCCAAGGGCCAGCUUAUGGCUGCAUGUAUCCUGCAGCUAGGACUUUUCAACCAGAGUAUCAUGAGUACUUAAUGAACAAAAUUUAUGAAGCAAGUGUUAAAGUGAAUCCAUAUUUGGACCAGCACCAUAGUUUGCUUUGGAUGAGGAGCAAGUUUAGUACACAGAUCAAGUGUGACCAUAUUACUAGUAAUGUUGCAGAGGUUUGGAACCAAUGGGUGAAGGAGAUUAAGGACCUUCCAAUAGCUGAGCUUGCUGACACACUUUGAUCAAAGUUCAUGGAACUUUACGCAAAAAGAAGUUGGAUUGGUGAAAAAUUAGAUGGCCACAUAAUGCUUCCUAUUGUAGUGAUACAACUUCAUGUACUCAGUAGACAGCUGGGUCACUUGAAGGUCAAAGAAGGUGGCAGGGAAGAAGCAGAGGUGACAGAGAUCACUCAAUCACAAAAGAUAAUUAGACAUGUUGUCAAUCUUAAGAAUCACACUUGCACAUGCAGAGAGUGGCAAGUCUCAGGGAAACCAUGUCAACAUGCUCUAGCAUUGAUAAUAACAUACAGAAAUCCUAAGAUGGAAGAUUACCUUGAUUCUUACUAUUCAGUCUACCAUUUUAGGCUAGCAUACAGUGGUGUCAUUAGGCCACUAACUGACAAAUCUCAGUGGGCCAAAGUGGAUAUUGGGUUCAAGUUGCGGCCACCUCUAGCAAAAAGGCCUGUUGGGAGACAAAGAAAGAAUAGAAUACCUAGCUGCUUGGAGAGCAAGGGCAGCAAGCCUUGGACAAAAGGCAUGUGGCUGGUGCAGUGCCAGAGAUGCCUUGGUCGUGGGCAUAGAAUGACGUCCCCCAAAUGCUCUCUCAAUGGUACAAAAAAAGAGGAAGAGUCGUGCCAAUGUAGGAAGGCCAUUAGGUUCAAAAAAAAUGAAGUAGGUACUAGUACUCAUAAGAGGCAGAAGGUUGGAACAUCAGGAAGUCCUAUCCCUAGUGCAACAUCUGGUAGUCCUGGGCCUGUCACAAGAAGUCAAUUAGCAUUGAGCAUGGAAGGUGGCACUAGUGCAACAUCUGGUAGUCCUGGUCCAGUCACAUGAAGUCAAUUAGCAUUGAGCAUGGAAGGUGGAGGUAGUGGAACAUCUUGUAGUCCUGGUCUUGUCACAAGAAGUCAAUUAGCAUUAAGCAUGGAAGGUGGAGGUGGAGCAUUGGAAGGAGCAUCGACCUUCCCUACUACCCCUACAAGGCCAACAAAACUCCUAGUCAAAAGAAAGAAGGCAGCUGUCAAGAAGAAGCUCACUCCAAGGAGGCCGACAAAGUGAUAUGUGGCAUGGCCUGAUGAUUUUUGUUGGUUUGCAUGUAGGCAUGACCUUAUUUUGGCAUUGAGCACCUACGUGGUGUGCUUUAUGUUGGCAUUCAGCACUAUGGCAUUCAGCACUAUGUGCUUUAUUUUGGCAUUAAGAACUUAUGUGUUCUCUUUUAGAACUUAUGUGUUUUGUUAUGGAACCAUGAAUGUUGGCUGGAAACUGAAAUUUCAGAAUGUUAUGUCAAUUUCAGAUGAUUA